AUACGGAGGGUGCGAGCGUUAAUCGGAAUUACUGGGCGUAAAGCGCGCGUAGGCGGCUUUGUAAGUCGGAUGUGAAAGCCCUGGGCUCAACCUGGGAAUUGCACUCGAUACUGCAGAGCUAGAGUAUGGUAGAGGGAAGUGGAAUUUCCGGUGUAGCGGUGAAAUGCGUAGAUAUCGGAAGGAACACCAGUGGCGAAGGCGACUUCCUGGGCCAAUACUGACGCUGAGGUGCGAAAGCGUGGGGAGCAAACAGGAGUAGAAACCAGAGUAGUCC
rnacentral:rRNA from 1 species